CCCUUAGAUGUUCUGGGCUGCACGCGCGCUACACUGAAGCGUUCAACGAGUAUUCACCUUGCCCGGGAGGGUUGGGUAAUCUUUUGAAAACGCUUCGUGAUGGGGAUAGAUUAUUGCAAUUAUUAAUCUUCAACGAGGAAUUCCUAGUAAGCGCGAGUCAUCAGCUCGUGCUGAUUACGUCCCUGCCCUUUGUACACACCGCCCGUCGCUCCUACCGAUGGAGUGAUCCGGUGAAUAAUUCGGACUGCAGCACUGCUUGGUCUCCAGGCUUUGCAGCGGAAAGUUUAGUGAACCUUAUCACUUAGAGGAAGGAGAANUCGUAACA
rnacentral:rRNA from 1 species